rnacentral:rRNA from 1 species
AGUGAACGCUGGCGGUAGGCCUAACACAUGCAAGUCGAACGGACCCUUCGGGGUUAGUGGCGGACGGGUGGGUAACACGUGGGAACGUGCCUUUAGGUUCGGAAUAGCUCCUGGAAACGGGUGGUAAUGCCGAAUGUGCCCUUCGGGGGAAAGAUUUAUCGCCUUUAGAGCGGCCCGCGUCUGAUUAGCUAGUUGGUGAGGUAAAGGCUCACCAAGGCGACGAUCAGUAGCUGGUCUGAGAGGAUGACCAGCCACAUUGGGACUGAGACACGGCCCAAACUCCUACGGGAGGCAGCAGUGGGGAAUCUUGCGCAAUGGGCGAAAGCCUGACGCAGCCAUGCCGCGUGAAUGAUGAAGGUCUUAGGAUUGUAAAAUUCUUUCACCGGGGACGAUAAUGACGGUACCCGGAGAAGAAGCCCCGGCUAACUUCGUGCCAGCAGCCGCCGUAA